rnacentral:rRNA from 6 species
UGGACGACUCUCGGCAACGGAUAUCUCGGCUCUCGCAUCGAUGAAGAACGUAGCGAAAUGCGAUACCUGGUGUGAAUUGCAGAAUCCCGUGAACCAUCGAGUCUUUGAACGCAAGUUGCGCCCGAGGCCAUCCGGCCAAGGGCACGCCUGCCUGGGCGUCACGC